rnacentral:rRNA from 1 species
AUUGAACGCUGGCGGCAGGCCUAACACAUGCAAGUCGAACGAGUGGCGGACGGGUGAGUAAUGUCUGGGAAACUGCCUGAUGGUGGGGGAUAACUACUGGAAACGGUAGCUAAUACCGCAUACCAGCGGCUGUGCCCAGAUGGGAUGAGCUAGUAGGUGGGGUAAAGGCUCACCUAGGCGACGAUCCAUAGCUGGUCUGAGAGGAUGACCAGCCGAACGGGCACUGAUACACGGUCCAGACUCCUACGGGAGGCAGCAGUGGGGAAUGUUGGACAAUGGGCGCAAGCCUGAUGCAGCCAUGCCGCGUGUAUGAAGAAGGCCGUCGGGUUGGAAAGUACUUUCAGCGGGGAGGCGUUACCCGCAGAAGAAGCACCGGCUAACUCCGGGCCAGCCGCCGCGGUAAUUC